rnacentral:misc_RNA from 1 species
CACGAAUAUUUUAUGGAUUUUUAUCCAAACUUAACAUUAGGUGGAAAAAAAGGAAUUUGGAGUUUGGGUUUGCCUACGCUAAUUUUGAUACUUGAAACGUGUCCGGGUUAUCUAAAAAUGGUGAAAAACACUGUAAUAUUGACCUACUUCUGAAGUGGGCCUGGCAAUCUACGUGUCUGGCUUGAAAUUGUAGUCUCGGUCGCCGGUGGAAUUUCUUUAAAAUAAAAACACUUACGUAAAGUCCACAACACCAGGAGCUAAGAUAUAAUUUUUAUUUAAUUAAGAAGACUCAUUAAAGAUCCGAAAAAUCAUUGGCAAGCUCAUGGGACUCACUAAAUUUUUAGUGUCAGAAAAAUUUUAAAUUGGUGUCGUUGCAAAGCUCUCAAUGUAUAGGACGCGUUGGUGGUCUCGCAUUUUUUGUAGAAUUUACGGUUUUGGAUAUAUCUAGCUCAGAGUCGAAAAUGACUAAAACUUUCCGAGCUUGAUUCGUUCAAAUUGCCCUAUGAAAAUUCAUAAAAUUGACAUAUAUGGAAAGCUUACGAGAUGUAGAACAAAAUGGGGAUAAGAGCUGUCCAAUUGGUGGCUAGAAUCGUUGGAAACGGCAAGGGAAGACGAAAUGGUGCGCAUGAAGAAAGGGCCAGUUUGAGCUCUUUUCCUGGUCGGAAAAAGAGGUAGCAGUGGCGGGGGAAGGGCAAAAGGGGUGCGCCAGCGAGGGAGGGAGGCGGGGUAGGUGGUGGGCUGCAGUGGGGAGAAGAGAGGAGAGAGAA